rnacentral:rRNA from 1 species
UACGUAGGGUGCGAGCGUUGUCCGGAAUUAUUGGGCGUAAAGGGCUCGUAGGCGGUCUGUUGCGUCAGGAGUGAAAACUCGGGGCUUAACCCCGAGCCUGCUUCUGAUACGGGCAGACUAGAGGUAUGCAGGGGAGAACGGAAUUCCUGGUGUAGCGGUGAAAUGCGCAGAUAUCAGGAGGAACACCGGUGGCGAAGGCGGAAUCCUGGACCGACACUGACGCUGAGGAGCGAAAGC